rnacentral:tRNA from 1 species
GGGGUGGUGGCUCAGUGGUAGAGCACUUGCCCAGCACGCAUGAGCCACUGGGUUCCAUCCUCAGCAGCGCCA